rnacentral:rRNA from 1 species
UACAGAGACCUCAAGCGUUAUCCGGAAUCAUUGGGCGUAAAGCGUACCGAUAGGUGGUUUAUUAAGUCUUGGGUAAAAGCCGGAAGCUUAACUUCCGCGUUUGCUUAAGAUACUAAUAGACUAGAGGGGCAAAGAGGAGAUUGGAACCAACGGUGUAGUAGUGAAAUGCGUUGAUAUCGUUGGGAACACCGAAAGCGAAGGCAGAUCUCUGGGUGCCACCUGACACUGCUAGGACGAAAAGCGUGGGGAGCGAAUGGG